rnacentral:rRNA from 1 species
UCAGGAGGGGUAACCCUUCUGAGGGGAGAGCGGCGAACGGGUGAGUAACACGUGGGCAACCUGCCCCGGACACCGGGAUAACCCAGGGAAACCUGAGCUAAUACCGGAUACUCCGGCGCGAUCGCAUGGUCGUGCCGGGAAAGCUCCGACGGUCCGGGAUGGGCCCGCGGCCCAUCAGCUUGUUGGUGGGGUAACGGCCCACCAAGGCGACGACGGGUAGCUGGUCUGAGAGGACGGCCAGCCACACUGGGACUGAGACACGGCCCAGACUCCUACGGGAGGCAGCAGUGGGGGAUCUUGCGCUAAUGCGCGAAAGCGUGACGCAGCGACGCCGCGUGGGGGAUGAAGGCCUUCGGG